rnacentral:rRNA from 1 species
AGGGUUCGAUUCUGGCUCAGGAUGAACGCUAGCGACAGGCUUAACACAUGCAAGUCGAGGGGCAGCACGGGAGUAGCAAUACAACUGGUGGCGACCGGCGCACGGGUGAGUAACGCGUAUGCAACCUACCUAUCAGAGGGGAAUAACCCGGCGAAAGUCGGACUAAUACCGCAUAAAACAGGGGCACCGCAUGGUGAUAUUUGUUAAAGAAAUUCGCUGAUAGAUGGGCAUGCGUUCCAUUAGGUAGUUGGUGAGGUAACGGCUCACCAAGCCGACGAUGGAUAGGGGAACUGAGAGGUUGGUCCCCCACACUGGUACUGAGACACGGACCAGACUCCUACGGGAGGCAGCAGUGAGGAAUAUUGGUCAAUGGGCGAGAGCCUGAACCAGCCAAAGUCGCGUGAAGGAAGAAGGAUCUAUGGUUCGUAAACUUCUUUUGCAGGGGAAUAAAGUGCGGGACGUGUCCUGUUUUGUAUGUACCCUAAGAAUAAGGAUCGGCUAACUCCGUGCCAGCCGCGGC